rnacentral:rRNA from 1 species
UACGUAGGUGGCAAGCGUUACUCGGAAUCACUAGGCGUAAAGCGCAGGUAGGAGGUUGGAUAAGUCUGUUGUGAAAGCUCCCGGCUUAACUGGGAGAGGCCAACGGAAACUAUUCGGCUAGAGUGCGGUAGAGGUAGCUGGAAUUCCCGGUGUAGCGGUGAAAUGCGUAGAUAUCGGGAGGAAUACCUAUGGCGAAAGCAGGCUACUGGACCGUCACUGACUCUGAUCUGCGAAAGCUAGGGGAGCAAACAGG